GCAUCAGUAGUGCAGUGGGUUAGAGCUCGCGCUCCCGGAUAGAGCGAGAUGAGGGUUCGAGCCCCGCCUGAUGCA